AUUGAACGCUGGCGGCAGGCCUAACACAUGCAAGUCGAACGAGCGGCGGACGGGUGAGUAAUGUCUGGGCAACUGCAUGAUGGAGGGGGAUAAUUACUGGAAACGGUAGCUAAUACCGCAUACAAUAAGAUGUGCCCAGCUGGGAUGAGCUAGUUGGUGGGGUAACGGCUCACCAAGGCGACGAUCCCUAGCUGGUCUGAGAGGAUGACCGGCCACACUGUAACUGAGACACGGUCCAGACUCCGACGGGAGGCAGCAGUGGUGAAUAGUGGAAAAUGGUGGCAGACCUGAUGCAGCCAUGCCGCGUGUAUGAAGAAGGCCUUCGGGUUGUAAAGGACUUGCAGCGGGGAGGCGUUACCCUCAGAAUAAGCACCGGCUAACUCCGUGCCAGCAGCCGCGGUAAUAC
rnacentral:rRNA from 1 species